rnacentral:rRNA from 1 species
CAGGCUUAACACAUGCAAGUCGAGGGGCAGCAUGGUCUUAGCUUGCUAAGGCCGAUGGCGACCGGCGCACGGGUGAGUAACACGUAUCCAACCUGCCGUCUACUCUUGGACAGCCUUCUGAAAGGAAGAUUAAUACAAGAUGGCAUCAUGAGUCCGCAUGUUCACAUGAUUAAAGGUAUUCCGGUAGACGAUGGGGAUGCGUUCCAUUAGAUAGUAGGCGGGGUAACGGCCCACCUAGUCUUCGAUGGAUAGGGGUUCUGAGAGGAAGGUCCCCCACAUUGGAACUGAGACACGGUCCAAACUCCUACGGGAGGCAGCAGUGAGGAAUAUUGGUCAAUGGGCGAGAGCCUGAACCAGCCAAGUAGCGUGAAGGAUGACUGCCCUAUGGGUUGUAAACUUCUUUUAUAAAGGAAUAAAGUCGGGUAUGGAUACCCGUUUGCAUGUACUUUAUGAAUAAGGAUCGGCUAACUCCGUGCCAGCAGCCGCGGUAAUACGGAGGAUCCGAGCGUUAUCCGGAUUUAUUGGGUUUAAAGGGAGCGUAGAUGGAUGUUUAAGUCAGUUGUGAAAGUUUGCGGCUCAACCGUAAAAUUGCAGUUGAUACUGGAUAUCUUGAGUGCAGUUGAGGCAGGCGGAAUUCGUGGUGUAGCGGUGAAAUGCUUAGAUAUCACGAAGAACUCCGAUUGCGAAGGCAGCCUGCUAAGCUGCAACUGACAUUGAGGCUCGAAAGUGUGGGUAUCAAACAGGAUUAGAUACCCUGGUAGUCCACACGGUAAACGAUGAAUACUCGCUGUUUGCGAUAUACUGCAAGCGGCCAAGCGAAAGCGUUAAGUAUUCCACCUGGGGAGUACGCCGGCAACGGUGAAACUCAAAGGAAUUGACGGGGGCCCGCACAAGCGGAGGAACAUGUGGUUUAAUUCGAUGAUACGCGAGGAACCUUACCCGGGCUUAAAUUGCAGAUGAAUUACGGUGAAAGCCGUAAGCCGCAAGGCAUCUGUGAAGGUGCUGCAUGGUUGUCGUCAGCUCGUGCCGUGAGGUGUCGGCUUAAGUGCCAUAACGAGCGCAACCCUUGUUGUCAGUUACUAACAGGUUCCGCUGAGGACUCUGACAAGACUGCCAUCGUAAGAUGUGAGGAAGGUGGGGAUGACGUCAAAUCAGCACGGCCCUUACGUCCGGGGCUACACACGUGUUACAAUGGGGGGUACAGAGGGCCGCUACCACGCGAGUGGAUGCCAAUCCCCAAAACCUCUCUCAGUUCGGACCGGAGUCUGCAACCCGACUCCACGAAGCUGGAUUCGCUAGUAAUCGCGCAUCAGCCACGGCGCGGUGAAUACGUUCCCGGGCCUUGUACACACCGCCCGUCAAGCCAUGGGAGCCGGGGGUACCUGAAGUGCGUAACCGCGAGGAGCGCCCUAGGGUAAAACUGGUGACUGGGGCUAAGU